ensembl:misc_RNA Metazoa_SRP Metazoan signal recognition particle RNA
GCUGGGUGUUGUGGCGUGCGCCUGUAAUCCCAGCUACUCAGGAGGCUGAGGCAGGAGAAUCACUUGAACCCAGAAGGUGGAGGUUGCAGUGAGCUGAGAUCACGCCACUGCACUCCAGUCUGGGUGACAGAGUGAGACUCUAUCUCAA